rnacentral:ncRNA from 2 species
AUAAAAUUCGUAUAAGAUGUUCGUAUAUCCCCGAAGAUAAGGUUUGGGGGUCUCUACAGGGAACCGUAAAUUCCUGGCUACGGAUAGGGUGCUUUGGCAU